rnacentral:rRNA from 1 species
UACGUAGGGUGCAAGCGUUGUCCGGAACUAUUGGGCGUAAAGAGCUCGUAGGCGGUCUGUCGCGUCGGAUGUGAAAAUCCAGGGCUCAACCCUGGACCUGCAUUCGAUACGGGCAGACUAGAGUUCGGUAGGGGGGACUGGAAUUCCUGGUGUAGCGGUGAAAUGCGCAGAUAUCAGGAGGAACACCGGUGGCGAAGGCGGGUCUCUGGGCCGAAACUGACGCUGAGGAGCGAAAGCGUGGGGAGCAAACAGG